CGGAGGAUUAGGUAAAACAAC
rnacentral:miRNA from 1 species